GCCUAACACAUGCAAGUCGAACGGGCUAGCAAUAGUCAGUGGCGCACGGGUGCGUAACACGUGGGUAAUCAACCCUUCAGCUUGGGAUAACGCCUUGAAAGGGGCGCUAAUACCGGAUACGGCGCGCGGGGCUUCGGCUCUGCACGAGAAAGAUUCGCAAGGAUCGCUGAUGGACGAGCUCGCGUCCUAUCAGCUUGUUGGUGAGGUAAGAGCUCACCAAGGCUUAGACGGGUAGCUGGUCUGAGAGGAUGGUCAGCCACACUGGAACUGAGACACGGUCCAGACUCCUACGGGAGGCAGCAGUGGGGAAUAUUGCGCAAUGGGCGAAAGCCUGACGCAGCCACGCCGCGUGAGCGAUGAAGGUCCUCGGAUCGUAAAGCUCUGUGGGGAGAGAAGAAUAAAGCCUGUGAAGAGCAGGCCUUGACGGUAUCUCUUUAGCAAGCACCGGCUAACUCCGUGCCAGCAGCCGCGGUAAUACGGAGGGUGCAAACGUUGCUCGGAAUCAUUGGGCGUAAAGCGCACGUAGGCGGCCAACCAAGUUGGAUGUGAAAGCCCUGGGCUCAACCCCGGAAUUGCACUCAAAACUGCCAGGCUAGAGUCUCGGAGAGGAAGGCGGAAUUCCCGGUGUAGAGGUGAAAUUCGUAGAUAUCGGGAGGAACACCAGCGGCGAAGGCGGCCUUCUGGACGAUGACUGACGCUGAGACGCGAAAGCGUGGGGAGCAAACCCCUGGUAGUCCACGCCGUAAACGUUGUGUGCUAGGUGUCGCGGGUAUUGACCCCUGCGGUGCCGUCGUUAACGCAUUUAGUACCCCGCCUGGGGAGUACGGUCGCAAGAAAAAAACUCAAAGGAAUUGACGGGGGCCCGCACAAGCGGUGGCAUGUGGUUUUAAUUCGAAGCGACGCGCAGAACCUUACCUGGGUUUGACAUCUACGGAACCUCUCGGAAAGUUGAGGGUGCCUUCGGGAGCCGUAAGACAGGUGCUGCAUGGCUGUCGUCAGCUCGUGUCGUGAGGUGUUGGGUUAAGUCCCGCAACGAGCGCAACCCCUAUCACUAGUUGCCAUCAGUUCGGCUGGGCACUCUAGUGGGAUGCCGGCCAAAACCGGAGGAAGGUGGGGAUGACGUCAAGUCCUCAUGGCCCUUAUGCCCAGGGCUACACACGUGCUACAAUGGCUGGUACAAAGAGCCGCUAAGCCGCGAGGCCAAGCUAAUCUCAAAAAGCCAGUCUCAGUUCGGAUUGCAGUCUGCAACUCGACUGCAUGAAGCUGGAAUCGCUAGUAAUCGGAGAUCAGCACGCUCCGGUGAAUACGUUCCCGGGCCUUGUACACACCGCCCGUCACACCAUGGGAGUCGGUUGCUCCAGAAGUAGGUAUCCUAACCUUCGGGGGGGAGCUUACCAAGGAGUGAUCGGUAACUGGGGUGAAGUCGUAACAAGGUAGCCGUAGGGGAACCUGCGGCUGGAUCACCUCCUU
rnacentral:rRNA from 1 species